GAUGAACGCUGGCGGCGUGCCUAAUACAUGCAAGUCGAGCGAACAGACGAGGAGCUUGCUCCUCUGACGUUAGCGGCGGACGGGUGAGUAACACGUGGAUAACCUACCUAUAAGACUGGGAUAACUUCGGGAAACCGGAGCUAAUACCGGAUAAUAUAUUGAACCGCAUGGUUCAAUAGUUAAAGACGGUUUUGCUGUCACUUAUAGAUGGAUCCGCGCCGCAUUAGCUAGUUGGUAAGGUAACGGCUUACCAAGGCAACGAUGCGUAGCCGACCUGAGAGGGUGAUCGGCCACACUGGAACUGAGACACGGUCCAGACUCCUACGGGAGGCAGCAGUAGGGAAGCUUCCGCAAUGGGCGAAAGCUUGACGGAGCAACGCCGCGUGAGUGAUGAAGGUCUUCGGAUCGUAAAACUCUGUUAUUAGGGAAGAACAAAUGUGUAAGUAACUAUGCACGUCUUGACGGUACCUAAUCAGAAAGCCACGGCUAACUACGUG
rnacentral:rRNA from 1 species